CGUGAGGGAAAGGCGAAAAGAACCCCGGCGAGGGGAGUGAAAAAGAACCUGAAACCGUGUACGUACAAGCAGUGGGAGCACGCUUAGGCGUGUGACUGCGUACCUUUUGUAUAAUGGGUCAGCGACUUAUAUUCUGUAGCAAGGUUAACCGAAUAGGGGAGCCGAAGGGAAACCGAGUCUUAACUGGGCGUUAAGUUGCAGGGUAUAGACCCGAAACCCGGUGAUCUAGCCAUGGGCAGGUUGAAGGUUGGGUAACACUAACUGGAGGACCGAACCGACUAAUGUUGAAAAAUUAGCGGAUGACUUGUGGCUGGGGGUGAAAGGCCAAUCAAACCGGGAGAUAGCUGGUUCUCCCCGAAAGCUAUUUAGGUAGCGCCUCGUGAAUUCAUCUCCGGGGGUAGAGCACUGUUUCGGCAAGGGGGUCAUCCCGACUUACCAACCCGAUGCAAACUGCGAAUACCGGAGAAUGUUAUCACGGGAGACACACGGCGGGUGCUAACGUCCGUCGUGAAGAGGGAAACAACCCAGACCGCCAGCUAAGGUCCCAAAGUCAUGGUUAAGUGGGAAACGAUGUGGGAAGGCCCAGACAGCCAGGAUGUUGGCUUAGAAGCAGCCAUCAUUUAAAGAAAGCGUAAUAGCUCACUGGUCGAGUCGGCCUGCGCGGAAGAUGUAACGGGGCUAAACCAUGCACCGAAGCUGCGGCAGCGACGCUUAUGCGUUGUUGGGUAGGGGAGCGUUCUGUAAGCCUGUGAAGGUGUGCUGUGAGGCAUGCUGGAGGUAUCAGAAGUGCGAAUGCUGACAUAAGUAACGAUAAAGCGGGUGAAAAGCCCGCUCGCCGGAAGACCAAGGGUUCCUGUCCAACGUUAAUCGGGGCAGGGUGAGUCGACCCCUAAGGCGAGGCCGAAAGGCGUAGUCGAUGGGAAACAGGUUAAUAUUCCUGUACUUGGUGUUACUGCGAAGGGGGGACGGAGAAGGCUAUGUUGGCCGGGCGACGGUUGUCCCGGUUUAAGCGUGUAGGCUGGUUUUCCAGGCAAAUCCGGAAAAUCAAGGCUGAGGCGUGAUGACGAGGCACUACGGUGCUGAAGCAACAAAUGCCCUGCUUCCAGGAAAAGCCUCUAAGCAUCAGGUAA
rnacentral:rRNA from 1 species